rnacentral:rRNA from 1 species
UACGAAGGGGGCUAGCGUUGUUCGGAAUCACUGGGCGUAAAGCGCGCGCAGGCGGUUUAGCAAGUUGGAAGUGAAAGCCUAUGGCUCAACCAUAGAAUUGCUUUCAAAACUGUUAGACUAGAGUAUGGUAGAGGAUGGUGGAAUUCCUAGUGUAGAGGUGAAAUUCGUAGAUAUUAGGAGGAACACCGGUGGCGAAAGCGACCAUCUGGGCCAUUACUGACGCUGAGGCGCGAAAGCGUGGGGAGCAAACAGG